rnacentral:rRNA from 1 species
AGCACAGAGAGCUUGCUCUCGGGUGACGAGCGGCGGACGGGUGAGUAAUGUCUGGGAAACUGCCUGAUGGAGGGGGAUAACUACUGGAAACGGUAGCUAAUACCGCAUAACGUCGCAAGACCAAAGUGGGGGACCUUCGGGCCUCAUGCCAUCAGAUGUGCCCAGAUGGGAUUAGCUGGUAGGUGGGGUAACGGCUCACCUAGGCGACGAUCCCUAGCUGGUCUGAGAGGAUGACCAGCCACACUGGAACUGAGACACGGUCCAGACUCCUACGGGAGGCAGCAGUGGGGAAUAUUGCACAAUGGGCGCAAGCCUGAUGCAGCCAUGCCGCGUGUGUGAAGAAGGCCUUCGGGUUGUAAAGCACUUUCAGCGGGGAGGAAGGCGGUGAGGUUAAUAACCUCAUCGAUUGACGUUACCCGCAGAAGAAGCACCGGCUAACUCCGUGCCAGCAGCCGCGGUAAUACGGAGGGUGCAAGCGUUAAUCGGAAUUACUGGGCGUAAAGCGCACGCAGGCGGUCUGUCAAGUCGGAUGUGAAAUCCCCGGGCUCAACCUGGGAACUGCAUUCGAAACUGGCAGGCUAGAGUCUUGUAGAGGGGGGUAGAAUUCCAGGUGUAGCGGUGAAAUGCGUAGAGAUCUGGAGGAAUACCGGUGGCGAAGGCGGCCCCCUGGACAAAGACUGACGCUCAGGUGCGAAAGCGUGGGGAGCAAACAGGAUUAGAUACCCUGGUAGUCCACGCUGUAAACGAUGUCGAUUUGGAGGUUGUGCCCUUGAGGCGUGGCUUCCGGAGCUAACGCGUUAAAUCGACCGCCUGGGGAGUACGGCCGCAAGGUUAAAACUCAAAUGAAUUGACGGGGGCCCGCACAAGCGGUGGAGCAUGUGGUUUAAUUCGAUGCAACGCGAAGAACCUUACCUGGUCUUGACAUCCACAGAACUUUCCAGAGAUGGAUUGGUGCCUUCGGGAACUGUGAGACAGGUGCUGCAUGGCUGUCGUCAGCUCGUGUUGUGAAAUGUUGGGUUAAGUCCCGCAACGAGCGCAACCCUUAUCCUUUGUUGCCAGCGGUUAGGCCGGGAACUCAAAGGAGACUGCCAGUGAUAAACUGGAGGAAGGUGGGGAUGACGUCAAGUCAUCAUGGCCCUUACGACCAGGGCUACACACGUGCUACAAUGGCAUAUACAAAGAGAAGCGACCUCGCGAGAGCAAGCGGACCUCAUAAAGUAUGUCGUAGUCCGGAUUGGAGUCUGCAACUCGACUCCAUGAAGUCGGAAUCGCUAGUAAUCGUAGAUCAGAAUGCUACGGUGAAUACGUUCCCGGGCCUUGUACACACCGCCCGUCACACCAUGGGAGUGGGUUGCAAAAGAAGUAGGUAGCUUA